rnacentral:lncRNA from 1 species
AUGCCUUCCCUGUGCAGGAGACCCUGCUCGGGGGCCAGCCUGUGGCCCAGGAGGAUGGCAAGGAGAGCCGCAUCUCGGAGCAGGAGAGGCUGUGAGGGUGCAGGGCGCUGCCUCCAACGGGAACACAGGCUUGGGCCAGCACAGUCUCCUCUGUUCCCUCUCCAGCCAAGGAGGAAAUCUGGCAUCUGGCCUGGCUGCAAAUUAUGUGAUGCUGCAGUGGGCCAUGGCAUAGCCACCCACCAUGGGGGUACCACCACAGCCCCUGAUCUGGCCACCUCUCCAGGGCUGACACAGUGGAGCAAAGCUCAGCUGCCUGCUCAGGGCUGCAGAGCAGAGCCUGGUCCCACCACCCGCCCAGGGUGCUGCCACGGGGCGCAGCGUGGCUGCUCACAGGCCGACCCCCUGGCAGAGCCCGGUGCAGCCACUGCACCAGGGCCCCCGUGGCAGAGCGUGGCUGCUUGGGUGGGUGCCCAGUGGCACAGCCCGCUCUGCCUGACUGCCGGGGAUGCCGGGGCGGAGAGUGUGGGCUGCUGGUGUGGGACGGUCCUGGCAGGCCACCCGCCCAGGGAGCUGGGGCACCCGCGCCAGGACCCUGUGCUGGAGCUGGGCCCGGUGGGUGCUGGCGGUGGAGACCGGGCAGCGGCCGGGGCCGUGGCGGCCCGGGGCAGGGCAGCAGCCCCCGUGCCUCCCCGCGCACCCUGUGCUGGCCCAGCGCUGCGGGGCUCCGUGGGGAGGCUGCCCGCUUCUCCCGGCGGGGACACGGACCCGGUACGGCGGCGGGGGCCAGUGCCCCGGACACAGGCGCGCGGCAGCCGGGAGAUGGUGCUGCGGGACCGGCGUGCGGCUGUCCCGCCCCGUGCCCGCCUCCGGCACCGGCCCGCAGCGACGCCGCCCCGCGUGGGGCUCCGGGCUCGCCGCGGCCCCGCUUCCCUCUGCCGGCCGGGCCCGUGGGGCGGGUGCCGCGGGGGGGACGGGGACACACACCUCCCAGCGCACCCCACACCACGUGCGUGGGGGCACACGCUGCUCGCUGCUGCCUGCAGCCACCCGCGGGGGGCACGGCCCGCUCCACGGAGGGAACGGCUGGACGCGAUUAUCCUCCACUGCGCCGCUGACAAGAAGCUGUCAUUAAACUUUAUUAUUCUCCCAAUGUGCGUGAGCAGCACGGCCGCCAGCCCCUGCCGCCUCCCCCUCGGGCCCCCCGCCGCUACCAGCACUGCGGGGGCCGAUACUCCCGGGGAGGGAUGCUCCCGGCUCAGUUGCUCCUGGGAUGGGCGCUCCCAGAACAGAUGCUCCCACAAGAGGAGGGAAGAGCUGCGCUUGAUCCCUGUCGUAGCCCCAGCCCCUACGCUGUCCCCCACCACGCCCCGAGCCCGGGCAUGCUCCCCCUGCAUCUGCAGUCAGCGUCUGGCCCCAGCCUGGCAGGACUGA